AGCGAACGCUGGCGGCAUGCUUAACACAUGCAAGUCGCACGGUUGGGGGCGAACCCUGGCAGUGGCGCACGGGUGAGUAACACGUGACUUAUCUACCCUCGAGUGGGGAAUAACUUCGGGAAACCGAGGCUAAUACCGCAUAAUACCCACGGGUCAAAGGAGCAAUUCGCUUGAGGAGGAGGUCGCGGCCGAUUAGUUAGUUGGCGGGGUAAUGGCCCCACCCAAGACGGUGAUCGGUAUCCGGCCUGAGAGGGCGCACGGACACACUGGAACUGAAACACGGUCCAGACUCCUACGGGAGGCAGCAGUGGGGAAUUUUGCGCAAUGGGGGAAACCCUGACGCAGCAACGCCGCGUGGAGGAUGAAGUCUCUUGGGACGUAAACUCCUUUCGAUCGGGACGAUUAUGACGGUACCGGAAGAAGAAGCCCCGGCUAACUUCGUG
rnacentral:rRNA from 1 species